rnacentral:rRNA from 1 species
AUUGAACGCUGGCGGCAUGCUUUACACAUGCAAGUCGAACGGUAACAGGCCGCAAGGUGCUGACGAGUGGCGAACGGGUGAGUAAUGCAUCGGAACGUGCCCAGUCGUGGGGGAUAACGCAGCGAAAGCUGCGCUAAUACCGCAUACGAUCUAUGGAUGAAAGCGGGGGACCGUAAGGCCUCGCGCGAUUGGAGCGGCCGAUGUCAGAUUAGGUAGUUGGUGGGGUAAAGGCUCACCAAGCCAACGAUCUGUAGCUGGUCUGAGAGGACGACCAGCCACACUGGGACUGAGACACGGCACAGACUCCGACGGGAGGCAGCAGUGGGGAAUUUUGGACAAUGGGCGCAAGCCUGAUCCAGCAAUGCCGCGUGCAGGAAGAAGGCCUUCGGGUUGUAAACUGCUUUUGUACGGAACGAAACGGCUCUGGUUAAUACCUGGGGCUAAUGACGGUACCGUAAGAAUAAGCACCGGCUAACUACGUGCCAGCCGCCGCCGUAA